rnacentral:ribozyme from 14 species
CAAAAGAAAACGAUGAAGAAAAAGACAAAGAAGAAGGAAGCGAUGGAAAAUAAUGUGAUGGAGAACAAACAACUUCUUUUUUUUUUUUUUUUUUUUUU